rnacentral:rRNA from 2 species
AAACCGCCUAGAGGUAAACGGGUGGAUCCGCAAAGUCGGCCCGCGGAAUUCAGCUCGGGAGGUCGUGCGCCCGCGGGUGGGUCGGGGAUCUUUAUCGACCCUCCCACCUCGGGACCGCGCGUCGACCGUGUGCACUUUCCGCGGGCAGAGCGCCACGACCGGUUCUCGGGCGGUCAGAAGGCGGCGGGGAUGGUAGGCGUGCGCCUCGGCGCGCGCUGGUAUAGCCCCGCCUGUCCCGAUCCGCUCGGGGACCGAGGAGCCGCCGCCGGCAGAGGCCGCCUUGCCUUCCCGGGAGGUUCGACUGGCAGAGACUGGGCAACCGUGUCUGCCGACCGCCUCUUGGUGAUGGACGGGGUGGGCCCGCCGGCACAGGGUCGGUGGCGAAUCGGUCGGCCCUCCACCCGACCCGUCUUGAA